GGGGCUGAUUCUGGAUUCGACGGGAUUUGCGAAACCCAAGGUGCAUGCCGAGGGGCGGUUGGCCUCGUAAAAAGCCGCAAAAAAUAGUCGCAAACGACGAAAACUACGCUUUAGCAGCUUAAUAACCUGCUUAGAGCCCUCUCUCCCUAGCCUCCGCUCUUAGGACGGGGAUCAAGAGAGGUCAAACCCAAAAGAGAUCGCGUGGAAGCCCUGCCUGGGGUUGAAGCGUUAAAACUUAAUCAGGCUAGUUUGUUUGUGGCGUGUCCGUCCGCAGCUGGCAAGCGAAUGUAAAGACUGACUAAGCAUGUAGUACCGAGGAUGUAGGAAUUUCGGACGCGGGUUCAACUCCCGCCAGCUCCACCA
rnacentral:tmRNA from 1 species